ACAUACAUGAUGACAACAUAAAACAUUUGAUAAUACUGUGAUACAUUAUUAUUAUGAGCUUUUUAACACUGAAUGCA